UCUAGUUCACUGUUGGUAAAUUUUUUUGGAUGCUGUUUAUGUUUGAACUUUUCUCUGUUUUCCUGUAGAAACUUCCGUACCCUCUUCCUGUGUCCCUACAAAAGGCCUGGACAAUGCAGUCCCAGCACCACCGUAGGACAUGGGCAGGGCCCCACCUUCCUCCUUCCUGCAGGGAUAUCCUUUCCUAUAGAAGGGUAUCCUUGGCGUAGACAUUCAGAGAAUCGAAGUCCUUCACACAGAGUUUCACAUGAAUCAGGACAGCUCACAUUAACACCUGCCUGGGAGCAUAUGUUACAGAUGAGCAAUGCAGAACUCAGGAGAAGUUGGGCAAUUCUGUGCUGACUGCCUCAGAGAAAGGAUGUUACAAUGGAAAACAGCCGGGAAAAGACUCUUCCUGACUUUUGAGUUUCAAAAGCAUAGGCCAUUAGGGAAAUGGAAAAGACCCACAGAAAGGACAAAACAUUUGGCAGCAAUGUCAUGAGUGAGAACAAAAUGCCUCUCCAGCCCUACUCCCUGAGCUUCAAGAAUUGGAGAGAGCCAGAAGGAAGAGAAAAAACUGAUGAAGUCUGGGACAAGAGGGCCAGAUCUGAAGGGGCCGCAUGGACGUGAGCAGAAGCAACAUCUGCAGACCACCCGUAAUCCACUCACAGGACCCUUUGCAUCACCCAUGCCCACGGGCUAGACUGGUUGCCAUCCGGCUGCCACUAAGUUCAUCUGAUAGUCCUCCUGAUAAAACAUCAUGAAGAAGUAUUUUUAUUAUCCUUACCCAAUGGACAAGAAAACGGAAGGACAAAGAAGUGAAGGAAACUGCCCAGAGAUGGGAGCCGUUCUCGUUCCGACCUGCUGAACAAACUUCUGAGGCGCAUAGGGCGAGCACAACUUUUUCCAGAAGAGAAGAGAGAUUAGGAACAAGGGCGAAAAGAGGAUCCGUUUCUGGAAAAUAAUUUCUGCAGAGACUUGGCAAGAGGAACACAGAAGGCUGGUCUCAACAUAACUGAUACUGAAUGAGUGUUUCUUGUUGAGUGUCCAUCCUCAUAGUAGCAGAAGCAGACUCUAUCCUGAGAAUGGAAUUACAAGAGACUUUUUUCCCCCUUUCCAAGAUCCAGGACCUCUGCUUUUCCACAGUAAUUCAAGAACCAGGGGAUUGGAAAUAGAGACAUUUUUGACUUUUAUGAAUUUACGUAGAAAAUUACAUUCUCGGAGCAAUUGGAGUUCCUCCUUCCAGGAUGGAUUUGACCCUCCUGCCCUCCCCCACUGGGAAUUUUCCCUGCGACAGGUUUGCAAAAAAGCACUUGGGGUCUUUUCAACACACGGUGACUGUUCACAAGGCACAAUUGUUUGUCUUCAACUUGGAAUUCCUCUCCACUGAGCCAGGAACAAAAUCAAGGCGACAGAGGCUCUAAAAUUCAGACAGGAAGUUCUGCCCUUUUGACCUGGGAAGCCAAGAGGAAAGUGAGGAGGAAGACGAUAAAGAAAAAGCCCAGGAGGAGGUUCCAUGCAUAGGAUAGAGAAUUCAGGUGGCCCAACUAGGAUCACAUGACCACCCCAGAGGCUGUGAUGUUGGAGUCUUGGGAUUGGUUGCACAGCAGUGCCUCACAUGGAAGAGAGAAGGGCAGAUCCUCAAAGAAAUGGUUCCCAGGCAGACAUCCAUUGCCUUCAACCACGGUGAUCAUUUUUCUUCGAGACCUGUCAGUUGAUAUGGCAAUUCUGCUCCCUAAAGAUAUCUCCAUAAUACCUUAUUUGUCAAUUAUCACUUUUCCUGUCUCCAUGGGCUCCACCUAAGCAGGUCUUACCCACUCAAAAAUCUCACCUGCUCAAAGGAGACAGACAGACUCACUCUGCUAAUGUGAUCUAUGUACUCUGCCUAGCAUAUCCCAGUACAUCUUUUUGUACAUUUGUUUCUUAUUUUUUAGCCCAUGAA